UACGUAGGGGGCAAGCGUUGUCCGGAAUUAUUGGGCGUAAAGAGCUCGUAGGCGGUUUGUCGCGUCUGCCGUGAAAGUCCGGGGCUCAACUCCGGAUCUGCGGUGGGUACGGGCAGACUAGAGUGAUGUAGGGGAGACUGGAAUUCCUGGUGUAGCGGUGAAAUGCGCAGAUAUCAGGAGGAACACCGGUGGCGAAGGCGGGUCUCUGGGCCGAUACUGACGCUGAGGAGCGAAAGCGUGGGGAGCGAACAGG
rnacentral:rRNA from 1 species